rnacentral:rRNA from 1 species
UUGAUCCUGCGAGGACCCGACUGCUAUCUACAGUGGGACUAAGCCAUGCGAGUCAACAUAGCAAUAUGUGGCAUACGGCUCAGUAACACGUAGUCAACAUGCCCAGGGGACGUGGAUAACCUCGGGAAACUGAGGAUAAACCGCGAUAGGUCAUCACUUCUGGAAUGGGUAAUGACUUAAACCUAUAUGGCCCCUGGAUUGGACUGCGGCCGAUCAGGCUGUUGGUGAGGUAAUGGCCCACCAAACCUGUAACCGGUACGGGCUCUGAGAGGAGGAGCCCGGAGAUGGGCACUGAGACAAGGGCCCAGGCCCUAUGGGGCGCAGCAGGCGCGAAACCUCUGCAAUAGGCGAAAGCUUGACAGGGUUACUCUGAGUGAUUUCCGUUAAGGAGAUCUUUUGGCACCUCUAAAAAUGGUGCAGAAUAAGGGGUGGGCAAGUCUGGUGUCAGCCGCCGCGGUAAUACCAGCACCCCGAGUGGUCGGGACGUUUAUUGGGCCUAAAGCAUCCGUAGCCGGUUCUACAAGUCUUCCGUUAAAUCCACCUGCUUAACAGAUGGGCUGCGGAAGAUACUAUAGAGCUAGGAGGCGGGAGAGGCAAGCGGUACUCGAUGGGUAGGGGUAAAAUCCGUUGAUCCAUUGAAGACCACCAGUGGCGAAGGCGGCUUGCCAGAACGCGCUCGACGGUGAGGGAUGAAAGCUGGGGGAGCAAACCGGAUUAGAUACCCGGGUAGUCCCAGCUGUAAACGAUGCAGACUCGGUGAUGAGUUGGCUUAUUGCUAACUCAGU